CCAUAGCUCAGCUGGAUAGAGCAACUGCCUUCUAAGCAGUAGGUCGAUGGUUCGAAUCCAUCUGG
rnacentral:tRNA from 1 species